AUUGGAUAAUUGAGAUUAAGAAAAAUAGAAAAUAUAUGUGAAUUGAUAAAUUGAUAAUGUCGACAGCCUAACUAGAUAUUCUGGGAGAUGAUAGACAGACCGGUUCCAUAGGGAACCCUACUGGGAAUGUGGUCUCUCAUAUCGGACGGGGUAUGGAGACCUUAUGUGUUUUGGCGCCCAUACUAGACGAGGUAUGGGGACGACCCGUUUCACCCUCAUACCGGACGGGAUAUUGAGGUUUAUGAUUUUGGCGCCCAUACCAAACGGGGUAUGGGGACGACUCUGAAAUUAAGUUAUUAAUGUGAAUGGUUCACGUGUAGCGGGGACCCCCUAUGGAUCCCCAUGGAUACUAAUAGGCUGAUAAAAGAGAAAAUUUGUUGUCUAAUGAUUGAAAUACAAAAGUAUGAUAU
rnacentral:lncRNA from 1 species